GAACUUAUGUUUUAACCGUGCUGCGUUAUUUAUGUCAACGUUGACAUACAUUAGUUUGUAUGUCUUGACAUAUAUUAGUUUAACAAAACUAACAAAAUCUUAAAAUAAAGGUGUUUCUUGUCCGUUGGUUCAUCUUAACAAAAAUGUAACGGAUAGCCGCAGCUUUUUUUU
rnacentral:telomerase_RNA from 1 species